ACUUUUCAAACUCCAGGCUGAAACCCUGAAGAACUCACUGAAACCCUGUGCACACUUUUUCUUUCUUUUCUUUUUUUUUCUCUCGAAAGGAUAUUGACUUUCACCUUGCACACAAGGAUUCCUCACGCCCAAAUUUUCUCUCCAAAAUUUUUCUUGCACAUGCCCCACUCUAGCAAAUCAAACCUAAGCCGGUAGCAUAGGAACCAAUUCCUGUACUAAUCAAAGUGACCAUCUAGCAAUGGUACC
rnacentral:lncRNA from 1 species